ACCCCUCCGAGCCCACUCCUGUCUUCCCUUUCUGCACACGACUGUAGCCGCGCCGACGCUAUUACCGGAAGCAUCCAAAGUUUCAAAAGCGUCGCGCAUCUCCUCUGUACAGAUAUGUAGAUCCCAGUUAAUUAGCGAGAUCUUGAACUGCCUGCAAGAUCUACAUCGCUAUGUCGCCGUGAUCUGGAUUCAAAGGAGAUGAAGGCAAUCCAGAUUCGUCUCUGCAAAGCGGUGAUCUCGCCGGAGAUUCUGAGCUUGGAUAAGAGAGCUACGCCGACCACGACGCCUUCUUGGACCUGCCUCGAGAGAUCCUUGAUCCGUGCUUCGCCGGGCCGGAUCUCAACAUGCAUCAAAGGUGCCGUCAUGGAGAGGCCCCUCAGAGGAAGGUAGCGCUCGACAUGGCUGCUACAGGGAGAAGAUUUCUUGGAUGCCCUCGGCAGGUCCUUGAUUCACUUGUGGAGCUUGGUUGGUUUACACUCUAGAGAGGGUACCACGUCAGGUGAAUCGAAGUCUCCCAUUGAUCAAGCAUACAUAGUGCUUUGGACUGAGAAAAACAACCUCCAGGUUGCAUUUGAACAAAUGGAGCACAAGUUGAAGACAAGAGAGUUCAAGCUUAAGGAAAUGAUCCACAACAGCGAGAAAGCCUCUUGCAGCUUGAACAUCUACGCCAACGUGUGCAUAUCUGCCGUCAGUAUAGCUGUUACUAUGUUUGCUCUACUUGUGGUUGUGUUCCUGAAACAGGCCGUGAGAUAUAUUGUAUCCUUUAGAUUUUGCAAACCCGCAUGCAAUCCUGCAUCCUUCCUUUACUUAUUUCCCGGUGAACAUGUUAUCAGCUUCAUAACUUAAGGGUCUGUUGGAGCUUUGGGUGUUACGCUAUUUUUCCGUCUCUGUUAAAUUGAUACCUGUAAUACACUAACUCCUGCAAAAGUUUUUUUAUAUGCACCA